rnacentral:rRNA from 1 species
AGAGUUUGAUUCUGGCUCAGAACGAACGCUGGCAGCGUGGAUGAGGCAUGCAAGUCGAACGGUCGCGGGAUGAUAGCAAUAUUUUCCCGCGAUAGUGGCGGAAGGGCGAGUAAUGCGAGAGCAAGCUGCCCCCCGGUUCGGGACAACGUCUGGAAACGGACGCUAAUACCGGAUCCGAAGCGCGGACAGAUGUCCGCGUCUUGAAAGGCGGGGCCCCGCGAGGGCCUGUCGCCGGGGGAGGCGCUCCCGUGCCAUCAGCUUGUUGGUGAGGUAACGGCUCACCAAGGCUCACGGCUAGGUGGACUGAGAGGUUGGUCACCCGCACUGGGACUGAGACACUGCCCAGACUCCUACGGGAGGCUGCAGUCGAGGAUCAUUCGCAAUGGGGGAAACCCUGACGAUGCGACGCUGCGUGGAGGAUGAAGGCCCUCGGGUCGCAAACUCCUGUCAUGUGGGACAAGACGGCGGCCGCGAACAGCGGCGCGCCAUUGAUGGUACCACAAGAGGAAGCCACGGCUAACUCUGUGCCAGCAGCCGCGGUAAUACAGAGGUGGCGAGCGUUGUUCGGAUUUACUGGGCGUAAAGCGUGCGUAGGCGGUCGCGUGUGUCGGAUGUGAAAUCCCGGGGCUCACCCCCGGAAGUGCAUCCGAAACUGCGCGGCUUGAGGCCGGGAUGGGUGACUGGAACACAUGGUGUAGCGGUGAAAUGCGUUGAUAUCAUGUGGAACACCGGAGGCGAAGGCGAGUCACUGGAACGGAUCUGACGCUGAGGCGCGAAAGCGUGGGGAGCAAACAGGAUUAGAUACCCUGGUAGUCCACGCCGUAAACGU